GUAGGUGGCAAGCGUUGUCCGGAAUUAUUGGGCGUAAAGCGCGCGCAGGCGGUUCUUUAAGUCUGAUGUGAAAGCCCACGGCUCAACCGUGGAGGGUCAUUGGAAACUGGAGAACUUGAGUACAGAAGAGGAAAGCGGAAUUCCACGUGUAGCGGUGAAAUGCGUAGAGAUGUGGAGGAACACCAGUGGCGAAGGCGGCUUUCUGGUCUGUAACUGACGCUGAGGCGCGAAAGCGUGGGGAGCAAACAGGAUUAGAUACCCUGGUAGUCCACGCCGUAAACGGUGAGUGCUAAGUGUUAGGGGGGUUUCCGCCCCCUUAGUGCUGCAGCUAACGCAUUAAGCACUCCGCCUGGGGAGUACGACCGCAAGGUUG
rnacentral:rRNA from 1 species